rnacentral:rRNA from 1 species
GCGGAGGGAUCAUUACCGAGUUUACAACUCCCAAACCCAAUGUGAACCAUACCAAACUGUUGCCUCGGCGGGGUCACGCCCCGGGUGCGUCGCAGCCCCGGAACCAGGCGCCCGCCGGAGGGACCAACCAAACUCUUUACUGUAGUCCCCUCGCGGACGUUAUUUCUUACAGCUCUGAGCAAAAAUUCAAAAUGAAUCAAAACUUUCAACAACGGAUCUCUUGGUUCUGGCAUCGAUGAAGAACGCAGCGAAAUGCGAUAAGUAAUGUGAAUUGCAGAAUUCAGUGAAUCAUCGAAUCUUUGAACGCACAUUGCGCCCGCCAGUAUUCUGGCGGGCAUGCCUGUCCGAGCGUCAUUUCAACCCUCGAACCCCUCCGGGGGGUCGGCGUUGGGGAUCGGGAACCCCUCAGACGGGAUCCCGGCCCCGAAAUACAGUGGCGGUCUCGCCGCAGCCUCUCCUGCGCAGUAGUUUGCACAACUCGCACCGGGAGCGCGGCGCGUCCACGUCCGUAAAACACCCAACUUCUGAAAUGUUGACCUCGGAUCAGGUAGGAAUACCCGCUGAACUUAAGCAUA